ensembl:lncRNA
CUCUUUAGAUCUUUUGAAACUUGGAAGCAUGUCAUUUUCCUAAAGGAAGGCAACAGACACACUAUGCUUGUGACAUAACCAUACAUUAUCAUUAUGUAAAUUAGAUAGUGUGAUUUAUUAUUUAAAGAAAUAUUUCCUCAAUUUUCAGAAUUAUUGUGGAUGAGUUGCUCUGAAUGUGAGGAUAUCAAUAUUAAAUGAACAGUAGAUGGAGGGUCUGCAAUUUGCCUCACUGGGAGAGAUAUUUACAUUGAGGAGAUCAAACAUUUUAAGUAUUUGAAUACUUGAAAGAUUUGGAGGAAAGUUGUAGCAUCAUCUGGUAGCUUUUUAACAUUGUUAAGCUACAGAUGAAUUUGUAUUCAUGGAGGGGACUUUCCACCUUGGGAUGAAGGUAACAGUUGCACAGUGCAAGGUCCUGUGCUUGUGAAAUCAUGUGUUUAUGCCAUUGGGAAAAAUUAAUCCUAAAGUACCAAUAUUUGCCCAUCAUCCCAUUGCAUUGGGUCUCUGCCAAGAAUUUUCCCCUAGAAGUCAUCCCAUCUUUGCCAUGCAGUUUCAAUCUCUGUCUCCUCUCUCUGUCUCUCUCUCUGUCUCUCUCUCUCUCUCUCUGUCUCUCUCUCUGUUCUUGUCUCUGUCUCUGUCUCUCUGUCUCUGUCUCUCUGUCUCUGUCUCUCUCUCUCUCUGUUCUUAUCUCUGUCUCUGUCUCUCUGUCUCUCUCUGUCUCUCUGUCUCUCUCUCUGUUCUUGUCUCUGUCUCUCUGUCUCUGUCUCUCUGUGUCUCUUUUCUGUCUCUCCCUUCCCAUCCAGGCUGCAAGCAUACUCAGCAUUCUUCAAAUCUAUCUUUAUUUAGAUGUAUGUGUAUACUAGCAUAACAUAGAGGCGUAUUCAGUCUACAUGUUCAUGUAUACAUGUGUAUAUGUGCACAUGUAUAUACUUAUGGGUGUUUUAUCAUAUGCUUUCAUAAAUAUAUUAUACAUUUGUAUGGCCUUGUGGUUGUUGUGUUGCAUGUAUUUGUUAAUAUUUACACAUAUACAAGCAUGUACAUAUGGGCUUUGUAUGCAUUGCAUGUGUAUUUAUUAGUAUAUUGCAUAGAUUAUUGUAACAUAUGCAUAGGCUUACAUGCAUCACAUCGUUUGUAUAUUUAUUUAUCUGUGUGCAUAUAUGUAAUGUACUUACAUGUAGGGGGUUAAAUGUUGCAUGUAUAUUUAUUGGUAUAUGUGGUGUGUGCAUUUUAUGUAUAUUUAUUAGCAUAUAUGUAUGUAUUUGUACAUGUAUGUGUAGGUUACACAUUAUCAUAUUUUUGUAUGUUUUAGCAUAUGGGUAUAUAUAUGUAUGAACAUAUGUGUGUAUGUGUAUUCAAAGUCAGAGUUCAGGGAAGCAGGGGAAGGAAGUGGGAGAUCAAGGAGAGCAAGCUAGAUGGAGAAGCUGGCAUUUUAGCAAGGCUCUGAAGGAUGAGCAAGAUUUCAAGCAUUUCUUCAGUUUCAAUAUCCCCCUAAACUCUUCCAUCCACUCUGAUUGUUCAGUUAAGUUCUCUCUACUGAAUGAUUACAAAUUUCGGGUCCCUUGAGGUGUUAUUGGCUCUUCAGGACAGCACUACUCUCUGUUUGAAGGUUGAUCCAUUUUCUAGAGUCUUGGGCUGAUGAAGAUUCUUGAAGCAGAGCAUUUUGAAAAAUAAAAAUGGUCUCCCUGACA